rnacentral:rRNA from 1 species
CCUACGGGCGGCAGCAGUGGGGAAUAUUGGACAAUGGGCGAAAGCCUGAUCCAGCCAUGCCGCGUGUGUGAAGAAGGCCUUCGGGUUGUAAAGCACUUUCAGUGGGGAAGAAAGCCUUGGGGCUAAUACCCUCGAGGAAGGACAUCACCCACAGAAGAAGCACCGGCUAACUCCGUGCCAGCAGCCGCGGUAAUACGGAGGGUGCGAGCGUUAAUCGGAAUUACUGGGCGUAAAGCGCGCGUAGGCGGUCUGAUAAGCCGGUUGUGAAAGCCCGGGCUCAACCUGGGAACGGCAUCCGGAACUGUCAGGCUAGAGUGCAGGAGAGGAAGGUAGAAUUCCCGGUGUAGCGGUGAAAUGCGUAGAGAUCGGGAGGAAUACCAGUGGCGAAGGCGGCCUUCUGGACUGACACUGACGCUGAGGUGCGAAAGCGUGGGUAGCAAACAGGAUUAGAUACCCCAGUAGUC